UACGUAGGGUGCAAGCGUUGUCCGGAAUUAUUGGGCGUAAAGAGCUCGUAGGCGGUUCGUCGCGUCGGCUGUGAAAUCCCGGAGCUCAACUCCGGGUCUGCAGUCGAUACGGGCGGACUCGAGUUCGGCAGGGGAGACUGGAAUUCCUGGUGGUAGCGGUGAAAUGCGCAGAUAUCAGGAGGAACACCGGUGGCGAAGGCGGGUCUCUGGGCCGAUACUGACGCUGAGGAGCGAAAGCGUAGGGAGCGAACAGG
rnacentral:rRNA from 1 species